GAUGAAGAACGCAGCGAAAUGCGAUAACUAAUGUGAAUUGCAGAAUUCCGUGAAUCAUCGAGUCUUUGAACGCACAUUGCGCCCCCUGGUAUUCCGGGGGGCAUGCCUGUCCGAGCGUCAUUACAACCCUCAAGCCCGGCUUGUGUAAUGGGCGGCCGUCUCUCCCCCCGGGGGGAGACGCCCCCGAAACUCAGUGGGGAUGUCGCGAUACCGAAGCCUCAGCUAAUGGGUAAACCACAGCUGCAAUGGCCGCGGCCGGCGUCCGCCUUCCACGGUCCGUCCGCCUAGCGCGGGCGGCCUUCUCAAGGUUGACCUCGGAUCAGGUAGGGAUACCCGCUGAACUUGAGCAUAUCAAUAAGCGGAGGA
rnacentral:misc_RNA from 1 species